UGGGCUUAAAUGAAGGGAAAAGCUCAAAAAUGAAAACUGACAUGGGGUUGUGUCAGUUUGCAACAUUUCUUGCUGUUUGGUUCGUUCAAAGCUGAAAUGAAAGAGGGAAGGAAAAUCAUCGCCACGUGAGAUUUGGAGGAAAGUGUGUUUCCGUCCCCAAGUCAUCGAAAUCGCUGGAAAGUGAUUAAACAUGUCUGUUCUCUCUUUCCUUCUCCUUUCACCCCUAGGGUUUACGAUCACCACUCGGCGUUCUCCCUCUCCCUCCAAUUUCUCCCGCCUCCUUCCUUUGGUUCAUUGAGCAACACCGAUCUAUCUGUUCUUCAACUCAAGCGUUGUCUUUCCCCUAUUGAAGGUUUACAAGUGGGAUAAGGUGAAUGAUGGGUUAUUCUUAAGAUAUGCAGUCAAAGUUUAUAGCAGUAAUAUAUUGACGAAGCAAUCCAUGAUGACAAUGCUUAUUAUGUAAGGUCAUUAUGAUAAUUACAGCCAACAUUGCUAUUAUAAACUUUACGGCGAGGCAGAUAAUGAAGAAAAGGGCCUUUUCUGAGCAUAUUUUCUAUAAAUUGUAUUAAAUUUCAACCUUGGUUUCAAUUGUGUUGGAUAUUUAUUUUUAAUAGGUUGAAAUGGUUUGGUUUCA